rnacentral:rRNA from 1 species
AGAGUUUGAUCAUGGCUCAGAUUGAACGCUGGCGGCAUGCCUUACACAUGCAAGUCGAACGGCAGCACGGGAGCAAUCCUGGUGGCGAGUGGCGAACGGGUGAGUAAUAUAUCGGAACGUGCCCAGUCGUGGGGGAUAACGUAGCGAAAGCUACGCUAAUACCGCAUACGAUCUACGGAUGAAAGCGGGGGACCUGUAAGGGCCUCGCGCGAUUGGAGCGGCCGAUAUCAGAUUAGGUUGUUGGUGAGGUAAAAGCUCACCAAGCCUGCGAUCUGUAGCUGGUCUGAGAGGACGACCAGCCACACUGGAACUGAGACACGGUCCAGACUCCUACGGGAGGCAGCAGUGGGGAAUUUUGGACAAUGGACGCAAGUCUGAUCCAGCAAUGCCGCGUGCAGGACGAAGGCCUUCGGGUUGUAAACUGCUUUUGUACGGAACGAAACGGUCUUCUUUAAUACAGAGGGCUAAUGACGGUACCGUAAGAAUAGACCG